UUACCUUUAAGUGAAAUUUUUGUACCCCUCGUUGACACAAGCAAAACUGCAACGAUUAAACAGGUGCAUAUCCGUGGAAUGUCAAGGAUUUCUCGCCUCAUAAUGCUGAGGGAGUUAAUAUAAAGAUUUAUUUAUAUGCCAGUACAGGUUUCCUACUUAUAAAUCCAAUCACUAUAGUAAAAAUCACAGAAAAACAUUUGAUUACACCAUGUGCUUCUUCUCGCGAGGGGAACUC
rnacentral:lncRNA from 1 species